rnacentral:rRNA from 1 species
GACGAACGCUGGCGGCGUGCUUAACACGUGCAAGUCGAACGGAAAGGCCCCUUUGGUGGUACUCGAGUGUCGAACGGGGGAGUAACACGUGAGUAACCUGCCCUUGACUACGGGAUAACUUCAGGAAACUGGGGCUAAUACCGGAUAGGGAUCCUUUCUUCAUGGGGGGGGUUGGAUAGCGUCGGCGGGUUUUGAUGGACUGGCUGCUUAUCAGCUUGCUGGUGGGGUAGUGUAUUACCAAGGCGGUGACGGGUAGCCGGACUGAGAGGGCGACCGGCGACCUUGGGACUGAGAUACGGCACCGACUCCGAAGGGAGGCAGAAGUGGGGAAUAUUGACCAAUGGGCGGCAGGCUGAUGCAGAAAGGCCGCGGGCGGGAUGACGGCCUUCGGGUUGUAAACCGCUUUCAGCAGGGGCGAAGCUUGUGGUGACGGUACCUGCAGAAGAAGCACCGGCUAACUACGUG